UUUUAUGGAGAGUUUGAUCCUGGCUCAGGAUGAACGCUGGCGGCGUGCCUAAUACAUGCAAGUCGAGCGAACGGACGAGAAGCUUGCUUCUCUGAUGUUAGCGGCGGACGGGUGAGUAACACGUGGAUAACCUACCUAUAAGACUGGGAUAACUUCGGGAAACCGGAGCUAAUACCGGAUAAUAUUUUGAACCGCAUGGUUCAAAAGUAAAAGACGGUCUUGCUGUCACUUAUAGAUGGAUCCGCGCUGCAUUAGCUAGUUGGUAAGGUAACGGCUUACCAAGGCAACGAUGCAUAGCCGACCUGAGAGGGUGAUCGGCCACACUGGAACUGAGACACGGUCCAGACUCCUACGGGAGGCAGCAGUAGGGAAUCUUCCGCAAUGGGCGAAAGCCUGACGGAGCAACGCCGCGUGAGUGAUGAAGGUCUUCGGAUCGUAAAACUCUGUUAUUAGGGAAGAACAUAUGUGUAAGUAACUGUGCACAUCUUGACGGUACCUAAUCAGAAAGCCACGGCUAACUACGUGCCAGCAGCCGCGGUAAUACGUAGGUGGCAAGCGUUAUCCGGAAUUAUUGGGCGUAAAGCGCGCGUAGGCGGUUUUUUAAGUCUGAUGUGAAAGCCCACGGCUCAACCGUGGAGGGUCAUUGGAAACUGGAAAACUUGAGUGCAGAAGAGGAAAGUGGAAUUCCAUGUGUAGCGGUGAAAUGCGCAGAGAUAUGGAGGAACACCAGUGGCGAAGGCGACUUUCUGGUCUGUAACUGACGCUGAUGUGCGAAAGCGUGGGGAUCAAACAGGAUUAGAUACCCUGGUAGUCCACGCCGUAAACGAUGAGUGCUAAGUGUUAGGGGGUUUCCGCCCCUUAGUGCUGCAGCUAACGCAUUAAGCACUCCGCCUGGGGAGUACGACCGCAAGGUUGAAACUCAAAGGAAUUGACGGGGACCCGCACAAGCGGUGGAGCAUGUGGUUUAAUUCGAAGCAACGCGAAGAACCUUACCAAAUCUUGACAUCCUUUGACAACUCUAGAGAUAGAGCCUUCCCCUUCGGGGGACAAAGUGACAGGUGGUGCAUGGUUGUCGUCAGCUCGUGUCGUGAGAUGUUGGGUUAAGUCCCGCAACGAGCGCAACCCUUAAGCUUAGUUGCCAUCAUUAAGUUGGGCACUCUAAGUUGACUGCCGGUGACAAACCGGAGGAAGGUGGGGAUGACGUCAAAUCAUCAUGCCCCUUAUGAUUUGGGCUACACACGUGCUACAAUGGACAAUACAAAGGGCAGCGAAACCG
rnacentral:rRNA from 1 species